CGAUGGGAGAGGCACUUCCGGGGCUUCCACAGACCACCAAGGCUUUAUUUCCUAACCUGGGGAGUAUUGGCACAUAAAUGUUUGCUUCAUUACUAUUGGAAUUAUGCGCGUUGAAUAUAUUCUUCUGAUUCUAGUUCUCAAUUUCCAAAAAAAAAAAGUCAAAUUUGAAUUACUUAGUUCUGGCCUUUCAAUAAUGCAGGCUGUUGGUGCCCAGCUCAUUCAACUGUGGAUUCUCUUUCAGAAGAUCUAAAUCUAGCCCAGAAAUCUAUAUGUUAAUAUCUUCCCUGGUGAUUUUUGGUGUUUCUGUCACUUGAAACUGCUGCAAGUUGGAGUGAGCAAGAGUUGGUGUGAUACCUCUUAGUGUAGAGACAGAUGCAGGGAGGGCCGAGAGCAUAAAGCAGCCCACCCUGGCACAUCUGCAGACAGCCACCCCCAUCCCCCAAAUCCUUAAGUUCCCUUUAUACAAAAGUCUAGUAUGUAACUUAUAUCUCUGUAUCCUUUCUAUAACUUGAAAAUGUGGAGUCCUGUAAUGCAAACUCCCAGUGCCUCUCAGCUGCAAUAGAGGCCCUCCAACUUGUAAAUCCGCAAGGCAUUGAACAUCUGGACAGAGCAUGUGCCUUGGAAAAAGUGUGCUUCUUGGUAUCCAUGGUGUCUGCAGCAAAGCAAAACUGUGCAAGGGGUGGAAUAUGGAAACACGUUGGACAGAACCCUUAUUAAAGGGUGUAAAGUGUCACUGAGAGCCUCUGCUCUUUUACUGCAGGAGGGUUAUAAAUAUUAAUAAGGGCCUUCGUGAGUUCUCUCAUCACAUGGGUUUCCCCCAACUGUUUUUUCCAUAAAGUCUUAAGUUGCGAAUCCUCCUGGUAUUUGGAAAGGAAUACAGUAAAAUCAGGAAAUAGAGCAGAAUCGGUCCACAUACACGCCAGCCUUUGGGUCCCAAGUCACUCUCAAAGAUGUGUCCCCACCCGCAAGUCUGCUCACUUUGAAGCCUUCCUCAAGCAUUCUUCCAAGCCCUGGGAUUCUCUUUGGUAUUAGAAACUGACGUAAGCCAACAUGUCAGAGUCCUGGUAACUCUCGGGGGCCUCCAACUAUCAGAGGUGGGCAAGCUGAAUUCUCUCCCCUUCAUGCUGGCUACCACAUGGGCAGAGUUCCUACUGCGGCUCAGUGGGUUAAGAACCCAGCCGGUAUCCAUGAGGAUGCAGGUUCAAUCCCUGGCCUUGCUGCGAGCUGUGGUGUAGGUUGCAGAUGUGGCUUGGAUCUGACAUUGCUAUGGCUGUGGCAUAGGCUGGCAGCUACAGCUUUGAUUUGUCUUCUAGCCUGCGGACGUCCAUAGGCCGUGGGUGCAGCCCCAAAAAGAAAAAAAAAUGUCCUCGCCCUAUCUCUUGAUGCACUUUCGUGGGGAAUGUAAGGAUGUGUGGACAGUAGGAUUGUACUGAGAAAGCAGGAUUACAUUCUUUGCUAAGUGUGUGCAAUGGGAGGCAGGAAGGAGUUGCAGGUCCUUUCUGAGUUCCAGACUAAAAGGUUCUGAAGGUCUUAGAUGGCCGGGCUUGCCAAAUUCUUAUGCCCCAUUUCAGUGAGAACAGAGAUACCUGUGUGUUCCUGGCCAGUCACAUAUUUUAGACUAGACUCAUUUCACCAGUGGCAAGGUAGUUUUGAUGUACUGCUUUUAGGGGGUAGAAACUCAUUCCCAGAGGCUGUGCUCACUUCACUCCUUUGCUGGCAGAGGAGUAGAGGAGGGGAGAUGCUCUCCCCCAGUCCUCAAACAGGAGACAUGGAGAAGCUGGAGCUUCCUUAGGGGCCACUGGCCUUCCCCUGUGGGAUUUGGGCAUUAGCUUUGUCCCACUCUACUCCCUGUGCCCAGGCAUGCUGUUGAGGCCUGAAGAGUGCUUCAGGGCAUCACCCAGUUCCCCAGGAGGCUAAGCUCACCUGGUGUGGGGACCUAUAGUGGCUGCCUAUGUUGUUACAUCCUGCUAAUUUGGGGGCCUCCAAUGAAUGCCGCCUCCCAGGAUUCACAUCUGGUGUAGUGCUGGCCCUGCCGCAUGCUUUUAACUACAGAAUAUAGCAAAGGCAGUGUGGUGGCAGUUCUGAGCCAAAGCCUUCAGGAAGACUAGCUGCUUCUCCUUUUUAACUGUGGGAAGCGCUUGGCUACUUUGCCAGAGUGAUAUUGUCAGGUGACUGCAUGGAGAGAAGGAGCCAGAGGACCAAACUCUGUGGAGAAGGGGAAGCUUAACCUCAGCCCCCAGCUGAACGAGCUUCACAAGACUAGCAAGACCAGCUGAAGACCUGCCCAGAGGCUCAGCCAAGAUGGAAGAAUCAGGAGCAAAUCAAAUGGCAGUGGUUUUGGAGUUCCCAUUGUGGCUCAGUGGUAACAAAACCUGAAUGGUAUCCGUGAGGAUGCAGGUUCCACCCCUGUCCUCACUUAGUG
rnacentral:lncRNA from 1 species